GCCCCCAGGAGUCGACCCUGCACCUUCCACCUUUCCCAGAAGAAAUCAGUAUCCGCUCUCGAGUUACUAAUCAGGUAGCAGCUGCUCUGCCCGCGCCUCCCCCCACCUCCAUCCACCCACCACCCGGGAGAAGGCCUUGGGAAACCCGGCUGCUACUCCAGGCUGCUCUGCGUGACCUUGAUCAUCAGCGGAACCGCUUGACAAAUGUCCUUACCUGCCUCACAGGAAGUUACUAGAACUGGGGGAAGCCGUGAUGUUUGGAAGUGUUGCAGCCAUCUUGAUACCAUAAGGACAAUCAUCAUUAACCAGCUGAAAAUGACAAAAUGACAGAGGUAAAGAAUCUUGAUCUUUGAUGUCAUCAAGCCCCAGAAUUAACCAACUAUGGAACUGCUCUGCCUCUGGACUUCCUGUAUUCAAAAGACAAUAAAAUGUCCUUAUUGUUUAAGCCAGAAAAAGAUCGGUGGGGGCGCCUGUGUGGCUCA